rfam:Triticum aestivum genome assembly, contig: Triticum_aestivum_CS42_TGACv1_scaffold_569089_7AS
UAUGUACUCCAUCCGUCCGGAAAUACUUGUCCAAAGAAUAGAUGUAUCUAGAUGUAUUUUAAUUCUAGAUACAUCCAUUUGUAUCCAUUUCUUUGACAAGUAUUUCUGGACGGAGGGAGUAAUUC